UCCGAUAUGGUCUAGUGGCUAGGAUUUGCCGCUCUCAUCAAGAGUCAGUACGCUUCCAUUGGCGCCGGCAAGGCCCGGGUUCGAUUCCCGGUGUCGGAA